ACUAAUAGCUAACAGCCAGCAGCUAGCUCUCGGCAACUCUUACAUGGUGGCAUACUGAAGCUAAGCAGGGCUGUGCCCAGUCACUAACUUGAUGGUAGACCACAUGGGAAAGCUAGGUUGCUACCAGAA
rnacentral:rRNA from 1 species